rnacentral:rRNA from 1 species
CAGCAGCAGCCGCGGUAAUACGGAGGAUCCAAGCGUUAUCCGGAAUCAUUGGGUUUAAAGGGUCCGUAGGCGGUCUUGUAAGUCAGUGGUGAAAGCCCAUCGCUCAACGGUGGAACGGCCAUUGAUACUGCAGGACUUGAAUUAUUGGGAAGUAACUAGAAUAUGUAGUGUAGCGGUGAAAUGCUUAGAGAUUACAUGGAAUACCAAUUGCGAAGGCAGGUUACUACCAAUUGAUUGACGCUGAUGGACGAAAGCGUGGGUAGCGAACAGGAUUAGAUACCCGAGUAGUCCCUGUCUCUUAUAA